GGGUUGUGAGGUUAAGCGACUAAGCGUACACGGUGGAUGCCCUGGCAGUCAGAGGCGAUGAAGGACGUGCUAAUCUGCGAAAAGCGCCGGCGAGGUGAUAUGAACCCUUGACCCGGCGAUGUCCGAAUGGGGAAACCCAGUGCAAUCCGUUGCACUAUCGUUAACUGAAUACAUAGGUUAACGAGGCGAACCGGGGGAACUGAAACAUCUAAGUACCCCGAGGAAAAGAAAUCAACCGAGAUUCCCCCAGUAGCGGCGAGCGAACGGGGAGCAGCCCGGAGUCUGAAUCAGCUUGUGUGUUAGUGGAACGGUCUGGAAAGUCCGACGGUACAGGGUGAUAGUCCCGUACACGAAAAUGCACAUGCUGUGAACUCGAAGAGUAGGGCGGGACACGUGGUAUCCUGUCUGAAUAUGGGGGGACCAUCCUCCAAGGCUAAAUACUCCUGACUGACCGAUAGUGAACCAGUACCGUGAGGGAAAGGCGAAAAGAACCCCGGCGAGGGGAGUGAAAAAGAACCUGAAACCGUGUACGUACAAGCAGUGGGAGCCUCUUUUAUGGGGUGACUGCGUACCUUUUGUAUAAUGGGUCAGCGACUUAUAUUCUGUAGCAAGGUUAACCGUAUAGGGGAGCCGAAGGGAAACCGAGUCUUAACUGGGCGUUAAGUUGCAGGGUAUAGACCCGAAACCCGGUGAUCUAGCCAUGGGCAGGUUGAAGGUUGGGUAACACUAACUGGAGGACCGAACCGACUAAUGUUGAAAAAUUAGCGGAUGACCUGUGGCUGGGGGUGAAAGGCCAAUCAAACCGGGAGAUAGCUGGUUCUCCCCGAAAGCUAUUUAGGUAGCGCCUCGUGAACUCAUCUUCGGGGGUAGAGCACUGUUUCGGCUAGGGGGCCAUCCCGGCUUACCAACCCGAUGCAAACUACGAAUACCGAAGAAUGUUAUCACGGGAGACACACGGCGGGUGCUAACGUCCGUCGUGAAGAGGGAAACAACCCAGACCGCCAGCUAAGGUCCCAAAGUCAUGGUUAAGUGGGAAACGAUGUGGGAAGGCACAGACAGCCAGGAUGUUGGCUUAGAAGCAGCCAUCAUUUAAAGAAAGCGUAAUAGCUCACUGGUCGAGUCGGCCUGCGCGGAAGAUGUAACGGGGCUAAACCAUGCACCGAAGCUGCGGCAGCGACGCUUAUGUGUUGUUGGGUAGGGGAGCGUUCUGUAAGCCGUUGAAGGUGUGCUGUGAGGCAUGCUGGAGGUAUCAGAAGUGCGAAUGCUGACAUAAGUAACGAUAAAGCGGGUGAAAAGCCCGCUCGCCGGAAGACCAAGGGUUCCUGUCCAACGUUAAUCGGGGCAGGGUGAGUCGACCCCUAAGGCGAGGCCGAAAGGCGUAGUCGAUGGGAAACAGGUUAAUAUUCCUGUACUUGGUGUUACUGCGAAGGGGGGACGGAGAAGGCUAUGUCAGCCGGGCGACGGUUGUCCCGGUUUAAGCAUGUAGGCGGAGGUUCCAGGUAAAUCCGGUACCUUAUUAACGCUGAGGUGUGAUGACGAGGCACUACGGUGCUGAAGUGAUAAAUGCCCUGCUUCCAGGAAAAGCCUCUAAGCAUCAGGUAACACGAAAUCGUACCCCAAACCGACACAGGUGGUCAGGUAGAGAAUACCAAGGCGCUUGAGAGAACUCGGGUGAAGGAACUAGGCAAAAUGGUGCCGUAACUUCGGGAGAAGGCACGCUGAUGUGUAGGUGAAGCCCCUGCGGGCGGAGCUGAAAUCAGUCGAAGAUACCAGCUGGCUGCAACUGUUUAUUAAAAACACAGCACUGUGCAAACACGAAAGUGGACGUAUACGGUGUGACGCCUGCCCGGUGCCGGAAGGUUAAUUGAUGGGGUUAGCGGCAACGCGAAGCUCUUGAUCGAAGCCCCGGUAAACGGCGGCCGUAACUAUAACGGUCCUAAGGUAGCGAAAUUCCUUGUCGGGUAAGUUCCGACCUGCACGAAUGGCGUAAUGAUGGCCAGGCUGUCUCCACCCGAGACUCAGUGAAAUUGAACUCGCUGUGAAGAUGCAGUGUACCCGCGGCAAGACGGAAAGACCCCGUGAACCUUUACUAUAGCUUGACACUGAACACUGGUCCUUGAUGUGUAGGAUAGGUGGGAGGCUUUGAAGCGUGGACGCCAGUCUGCGUGGAGCCAACCUUGAAAUACCACCCUUUAAUGGCUGGUGUUCUAACGUAGACCCGUAAUCCGGGUUGCGGACAGUGUCUGGUGGGUAGUUUGACUGGGGCGGUCUCCUCCCAAAGAGUAACGGAGGAGCACGAAGGUUGGCUAAUCCUGGUCGGACAUCAGGAGGUUAGUGCAAUGGCAUAAGCCAGCUUGACUGCGAGCGUGACGGCGCGAGCAGGUGCGAAAGCAGGUCAUAGUGAUCCGGUGGUUCUGAAUGGAAGGGCCAUCGCUCAACGGAUAAAAGGUACUCCGGGGAUAACAGGCUGAUACCGCCCAAGAGUUCAUAUCGACGGCGGUGUUUGGCACCUCGAUGUCGGCUCAUCACAUCCUGGGGCUGAAGUAGGUCCCAAGGGUAUGGCUGUUCGCCAUUUAAAGUGGUACGCGAGCUGGGUUUAGAACGUCGUGAGACAGUUCGGUCCCUAUCUGCCGUGGGCGCUGGAGAAUUGAGGGGGGCUGCUCCUAGUACGAGAGGACCGGAGUGGACGCAUCACUGGUGUUCGGGUUGUCAUGCCAAUGGCACUGCCCGGUAGCUAAAUGCGGAAGAGAUAAGUGCUGAAAGCAUCUAAGCACGAAACUUGCCCCGAGAUGAGUUCUCCCUGAGACUUUAAGUCUCCUGAAGGAACGUUGAAGACGACGACGUUGAUAGGUCGGGUGUGUAAGCGCAGCGAUGCGUUGAGCUAACCGAUACUAAUGAACCGUGAGGCUUAACCUUACAACGCCGAAGGUGUUU
rnacentral:rRNA from 1 species